ACUCCUACGGGAGGCAGCAGUGGGGAAUAUUGCACAAUGGGGGAAACCCUGAUGCAGCCAUGCCGCGUGUGUGAAGAAGGCCUUCGGGUUGUAAAGCACUUUCAGUAGGGAGGAAGGUAGUGUAGUUAACACCUGCACUAUUUGACGUUACCUACAGAAGAAGCACCGGCUAACUCCGUGCCAGCAGCCGCGGUAAUACGGAGGGUGCGAGCGUUAAUCGGAAUUACUGGGCGUAAAGCGCAUGCAGGCGGCCUGUUAAGUCAGAUGUGAAAGCCCGGGGCUUAACCUCGGAAUUGCAUUUGAAACUGGCAGGCUAGAGUCUUGUAGAGGGGUUAGAAUUUCAGGUGUAGCGGUGAAAUGCGUAGAGAUCUGAAGGAAUACCAGUGGCGAAGGCGGCCCCUGGACAAAGACUGACGCUCAGAUGCGAAAGCGUGGGAGCAAACAGGAUUAGAUACCCCUGGUAGCACAGA
rnacentral:rRNA from 1 species